GACGAACGCUGGCGGCGUGCUUAACACAUGCAAGUCGAACGGAAAGGCCCUGCUUUUGUGGGGUGCUCGAGUGGCGAACGGGUGAGUAACACGUGAGUAACCUGCCCUUGACUUUGGGAUAACUUCAGGAAACUGGGGCUAAUACCGGAUAGGAGCUCCUGCUGCAUGGUGGGGGUUGGAAAGUUUCGGCGGUUGGGGAUGGACUCGCGGCUUAUCAGCUUGUUGGUGGGGUAGUGGCUUACCAAGGCUUUGACGGGUAGCCGGCCUGAGAGGGUGACCGGCCACAUUGGGACUGAGAUACGGCCCAGACUCCUACGGGAGACAGCAGUGGGGAAUAUUGCACAAUGGGCGGAAGCCUGAUGCAGCAACGCCGCGUGCGGGAUGACGGCUUUCGGGUUGUAAACCGCUUUCGCCUGUGACGAAGCGUGAGUGACGGUAAUGGGUAAAGAAGCACCGGCUAACUACGUG
rnacentral:rRNA from 1 species